rnacentral:rRNA from 1 species
AACUUAUUGGUGUUUUAUAAUAAGCUAAAUCUGCUCAAUGAUAAGUUAAAUAGCCGCGGUACUUUGACCGUGCAAAGGUAGCAUAAUCAAUUGGCUUAUAAGUGAAGUCUAGAAUGAAUGAAUUUAUGAAGAAAAACUGUCUUUUAUUUUUAAUAUUAAAAUUAAUUAAUAAGUGAAAAUUCUUAUAUAAAAAUAUUAGACGAGAAGACCCUAAAAAUUUUUUAUAACAAUUUUUAUAAAUUAUACUUAUUUUAUUGGGGCGAUAAAAUAACAACAUAUUAACUUAUUUUACUGUUAAUAAGAGUUAAAGUUUAAAGAUAAAAUAAAUUACUUUAGGGAUAACAGCAUAAUUUAUAAUUAAGUUUGUGACCUCGAUGUUGGAUUAGGAAUUAAGUAGAUUAGAAAUUUAUUAAGAAAGUUCUGUUCGAACUUUUAUAUCCUACAUG